rnacentral:rRNA from 1 species
GAUGAACGCUAGCUACAGGCUUAACACAUGCAAGUCGAGGGGAAACGAUAUUGGAAGCUUGCUUCUGAUAGGCGUCGACCGGCGCACGGGUGAGUAACGCGUAUCCAACCUGCCCAUCACUUGGGGAUAACCUUGCGAAAGUAAGACUAAUACCCAAUGACGUCUCUAGAAGACAUCUGAAAGAGAUUAAAGAUUUAUCGGUGAUGGAUGGGGAUGCGUCUGAUUAGCUUGUUGGCGGGGGUAACGGCCCACCAAACCUACGAUCAGUAGCCGGUCUGAGAGGAUGAACGGCCACACUGGAACUGAGACACGGUCCAGACUCCUACGGGAGGCAGCAGUGGGGAAUCUUCCGCAAUGGGCGAAAGCCUGACGGAGCAACGCCGCGUGAGUGAUGACGGCCUCGGUGUAAGCUCUGUGAUCGGGACGGAAC